rnacentral:lncRNA from 1 species
CGAUCACGGAAUUCAUUCCACUUGCCUGAGAUCCGAGGUUCAUGAUUUUAGACAGGGUUCCAUGGAUCAGAUCUUAGUGUUCUAAGCUAUAUAAUUUACCACUUGGCGAUCUUAUUAGACCACACUCGAUCGACUUGAUCGGGCAAUCUAAUCGAGACCAAAAUGUCGAACUUUGGGUUCAUAAGGGGUCACGAUUUGGGCUUGAUCCAGACACACC